rnacentral:rRNA from 1 species
UACUCGAGUGGCGAACGGGUGAGUAACACGUGGGUGAUCUGCCCUGCACUUCGGGAUAAGCUUGGGAAACUGGGUCUAAUACCGGAUAGGACCGAACUUUAGUGUGUGUGGUGGAAAGUUUUUUCGGUGUAGGAUGAGCUCGCGGCCUAUCAGCUUGUUGGUGGGGUAAUGGCCUACCAAGGCGGCGACGGGUAGCCGGCCUGAGAGGGUGUACGGCCACAUUGGGACUGAGAUACGGCCCAG